GCGGCCGCCCGGUGCACGGGCGGCUGUUGCAAGGUUCAGCCAAGGCCGUUGCAGGGCCUACGGUGUGCAGAGUGACAGCGGUUAUGACGUAUAUGGUUUACCUAUCGAGGGGCGUCGCAAUGGGGUAGGCAACAAAGGCAGUUGCCUUGGGCCCCGAGCUGGUGGUGUCUCCGUGGGACGGCUGAUAUUGCAUUUUAGCAUAUUUAAAUUUUUGUACAUUUCGGUUAUGUUUGUUUUUCUGUCAUUCAUAUAGUGUGUGUAAAAUUUGCAUUGAGGUUAUGUUAUUUAUCAUUUAUUUUAUAUGUUAAUUCUUUAAUAAAAUAUCUAUUUACU